UACAGAGGGGGCAAGCGUUAUUCGGAAUUAUUGGGCGUAAAGGGCGCGUAGGCGGCUUGGCAAGUGGAAGGUGAAAUCCCUCGGCUUAACCGAGGAACUGCCCUCCAAACUGCUUUGCUUGAGGCCGGGAGAGGUGAGUGGAAUUCCCAGUGUAGCGGUGAAAUGCGUAGAUAUUGGGAGGAACACCAGUGGCGAAGGCGACUACCUGGCCUGUUCUUGACGCUGAGGCGCGAAAGCUAGGGGAGCAAACGGG
rnacentral:rRNA from 1 species